rnacentral:rRNA from 1 species
GACGAACGCUGGCGGCGUGCCUAAUACAUGCAAGUCGAGCGAAGCGGCGGAUGGGUGAGUAACGCGUGGGUAACCUGCCCUUAUGUCUGGGAUACCAUUUGGAAACAGAUGCUAAUACCGGAGACUAAAGGAUGGACCUGCGUUGCAUUAGCUAGUGGGUAAGGUAACGGCUUACCAAGGCGAUGAUGCAUAGCUGGUUUGAUAGGAUGAUCGGCCACAGUGGGACUGAGACACGGCCCAAACUCCUACGGGAGGCAGCAGUAGGGAAUCUUCCACAAUGGGCGAAAGUCUGAUGGAGCAACGCCGCGUGAGUGAAGAAGGUUUUCGGAUCGUAAAGCUCUGUUGUUGGUGAAGCGGUAAUCACCCAGAAAGUCACGGCUAACUACGUGCCAGCAGCCGCGGUAAUAC